CAGGACGAACGCUGGCGGCGUGCCUAACACAUGCAAGUCGAGCGAAGAUUAUAGCAAUGUAAUCUUAGCGGCGGACGGGUGAGUAACGCGUGGGCAACCUACCUCAAACUGGGGGAUAACACAGGGAAACUUGUGCUAAUACCGCAUAACAUCAUGAAAUGACGUCAUUUUAUGAUCAAAGGAGCAAUCCGGUGAGAGAUGGGCCCGCGUCCAAUUAGCUAGUUGGUGGUGUAACGGACCACCAAGGCGACGAUUGGUAGCCGAACUGAGAGGUUGAUCGGCCACAUUGGGACUGAGACACGGCCCAGACUCCUACGGGAGGCAGCAGUGGGGAAUAUUGCGCAAUGGGGGAAACCCUGACGCAGCAACGCCGCGUGAGGGACGAAGGUUUUCGGAUCGUAAACUUCUUUGAUGAGGGACGAAAGCAAUGACGGUACCUCAAAACAAGCCACGGCUAACUACGUGCCAGCCGCCGC
rnacentral:rRNA from 1 species